GAAAAAUGAGAAAAGUGGAUUGCAUGCUCAAACUCCAUUAGAAAUAGGAGAAAUAGUCAUUGUGAUACAGAGUCAGAGUAAUUCUUUCCACAAGAGGAAAGCACAGAAGCUUCAAGAAAACAUUCUGAAACAGGCGGCUGCAAUCAGUAAGAACGUGCCCCCUGUGAUACUGCUGCAUGAGACAACAGAAAAUGAAGGAGCAUGGAC